UGCCGGUGAUGACUGUGCCAUGCUAAUACCGACGGGCGGUGGCCCGGCUGAGUUCAACGUCUUCUCGGGAUGGUCUGAGGCAC